CCCUUAGAUGUUCUGGGCUGCACGCGCGCUACACUGAUGCAUUCAACGAGUCUAAAACCUGGUCUGAUAGGGCUGGGUAAUCUUUUGAAAGUGCAUCGUGAUUGGGAUAGAUGAUUGCAAUUCUUCAUCUUCAACGAGGAAUGCCUAGUAAACGCAAGUCAUCAGCUUGCAUUGAUUACGUCCCUGCCCUUUGUACACACCGCCCGUCGCUCCUACCGAUUGAAUGAUCCGAUGAAUACCAUGGAUUGAGAGUACGAAUGGGUUCGCUCAUUUCUGCUGCUCGAGAAGUGGAGUAAAUCUUAUCAUUUAGAGGAAGGAGAAGUCGUAACA
rnacentral:rRNA from 1 species